rnacentral:rRNA from 1 species
GUGGAUUAGAUACCCUGGUAGUCCUGGCCCUAAACGGUGCACGUUUGCUGUAAGAGGAAUCGACCCCUUUUGUGGCGAAGCUAACGCGUUAAACGUGCCGCCUGGGAAGUACGGCCGCAAGGUUAAAACUCAAAGAAAUUGACGGGGGCCUGCACAAGCGGUGGAGUAUGUGGCUUAAUUCGAUGCAACGCGAAGAACCUUACCUGGCCUUGACAUGCAUGUAGUAGAACCCUGAAAGGGGGACGAGGUAGCAAUACCAGCAUGCACAGGUGCUGCAUGGCUGUCGUCAACU